GGGUCAGUAGGUUGGUCGUGCCACCGGUACGUACUGGUCUAACUGAUUCCUCCUUCCUGAGGAACCGCAAUGCCAUUAAUUUGGUGUUGCGGGGAAACAGGACUGUUACUUUGAAAAAAUUAGAGUGUUUAAAGCAAGCUAACGCUUGAAUACAUUAGCAUGGAAUAAUGAAAUAGGACGAUCGAUCCUAUUUUGUUGGUUUCUAGGAUUGACGUA
rnacentral:rRNA from 1 species